rnacentral:rRNA from 1 species
CCUACGGGGGGCAGCAGUGGGGAAUAUUGGACAAUGGGGGGAACCCUGAUCCAGCCAUGCCGCGUGUGUGAAGAAGGCCCUCGGGUUGUAAAGCACUUUCAGUGAGGAAGAACGCCUGGUGGUUAAUACCCAUCAGGAAAGACAUCACUCACAGAAGAAGCACCGGCUAACUCCGUGCCAGCAGCCGCGGUAAUACGGAGGGUGCGAGCGUUAAUCGGAAUUACUGGGCGUAAAGCGCGCGUAGGUGGCUUGAUAAGCCGGUUGUGAAAGCCCCGGGCUCAACCUGGGAACGGCAUCCGGAACUGUCAAGCUAGAGCGCAGGAGAGGAAGGUAGAAUUCCGGGUGUAGAGGUGAAAUGCGUAGAGAUCGGGAGGAAUACCAGUGGCGAAGGCGGCCUUCUGGACUGACACUGACACUGAGGUGCGAAAGCGUGGGUAGCAAACAGGAUUAGAUACCCUAGUAGUC